UACGGGAGGGUGCAAGCGUUAUCCGGAUUCACUGGGGUUUAAAGGGAGCGUAGGUGGGAAUGUAAGUCAGUGGUGAAAUCUCCGUGCUUAACACGGAAACUGCCAUUGAUACUAUGUUUCUUGAAUUUCUGGAGGUUAGCGGAAUAUGUCAUGUAGCGGUGAAAUGCUUAGAUAUGACAUAGAACACCAAUUGCGAAGGCAGCUAACUACAGGGAUAUUGACACUGAGGCUCGAAAAGCGUGGGGGAUCAAAACAGG
rnacentral:rRNA from 1 species